GGAUGGCAGGCUAGGAGAUGGGUUUUAGAUUAACACAGCACUGCACAAAUUGGCACUUUUGUAAUAUUCGUCCUCUUAAACAUUGCUUUUUCUCUAAGGAAUUGUGUCCUUUCUUGGCCUUUGCACAGAGAGGUGGUGGGUGGUUGUAUCAGUCGGGGUUCUCCAGAGAAAAAAAACCAAUGGGAUAUGUAUAGAGAGAGGCAAGAUCUAUUUAAGCUCACAGUUGUGAGGGCCAACAAGUCCCAAAUCUGUAGGGCAGGCCAGCAGACUGAAAACUCAGACAGGAUUUCUAUCUUGCAGUUUUGAAGCCGAAUUCCUUCUUCAGGAAACCUGUUUUUGCCCUUAAGACCUUCAACUAAUUGUAUUAGGCCCACACUGAGGGCAGGCUGCUUUCCUUAGAGUCAGUUUGUUGUGGGUGUCAGUCACAUCUACAACAUACCUUCCCCCCAACAUCUAGACUAGUGUUUGGCCCAACAGCUGGGUGCCAUAGCCCGGCCCAGUGGAUCCAUGAAAGUCACGACCACAGCGGUCUUCAUCUCAAGCAUGGAAACUGGGCCAGAGAAGGACAAACUGAGGCAGAAACUUGUCUCCACAGCCCAGAACAACGCUGGACAUCUCUGGGGCGUGUUGGACCAGGUACUGAUGCAGCUGGAGACACAGACUUAGGCUGGGGGCCAAGAAGCCCUUCCUGGCUGGAGUUUCCAACAGCGGGACUGGCCGUGGGACGCCGUGGGUUCAUGGUCCUUGGAGGUGAGGCACCAGAGCUGUGCAGGAGAUUCCAGCUUUUGCUGAGAAGGAGGCCAGGGACCAGGAUGAAGCCCCCCACCUCUCAGCCCAGAAGGUCUGUAACUUCUGAUAAGCCUAGAUACUAGAAAUGGUGCUCAGAAAAGUCCCUGCUCCCUCCUCCUCUCCGCACCCCUCCCCCAGCCCCAAGUGAGGCAUUACAGGCCAGCUGAACACGCACCUCCCUGAAAUGGAAACCGUCUGUGAGCCUUUCUCGCCCGUCCUCCCCCAGCCCCCUCCCCGCCCAGCCUCGCCUGGGUACUCUUUCUGGGAGGGGAGCCUGUGCCUCAGCCUCUUUUCACACCCCACCUCAUCCUCCACACCCAGCCCAGCAAAGCCUAGGGGCCCAAGGGAUCCACCAUCAUCCUGGACAAGUCAUGGGUCACCAGCCGCCUCUCUUCUGUGCCUACACCCGUUAAUCAUCUUUUCCUGGUGAUUUGCAUGGCAACCUCUUUCACUUGGCCGCUCAGGGGAGUUUGCUGGUUUCAUCGCCUCAAUACCCUUGGCCUCCUGGGUCACUCUGGAUUUCCCUGCCUCCCCUCAACAACCUGGCUCGGAGGCCUGCCUGUCUGUGCUCCAGGAGGUCCUCGUCUUUUCACAAGCCUUCCCUUCCCUUCAUGGACGCAGCACCAUCUUGCCAGGUGUGGGGAGAUGCUGGCCGUGGCGGGAACCUUGAAGUUCUGCGGAAUGUCAAAGCUCAAAGGGCCUAAAGGAUUGUCUAGUCCACCCUGGUCCCCCAGCUUCACCCUAUUUCACAGAUGAGGAAACUGAGGCCAAAACAGUGACAAGUCUUUCUCAUGGUCACACGUCAAGUCAGAGGCAGAGCCAGGCCUAGGCCUUGGGGGCCCUCCCCCUCGGGCCCCUCUGUCUCCCUCUGCCACACUUUGUCAACAGUUUCUCUGAGACCUUCAACAGCUUAGGAGUGAGUGGAAAAUGUGUUUAGUGUUUGAAAAUCGAGUCUUGACCACCUCGUUCCCUUCAGGCACCCUCCGCUCAGAUGGCAGCUACUUGCAAGAAGCUCUGGGCACAGCCAUGAGCUGGGCUGUGGCCUGGCAGCCAGAAGGCCAGACAGACAAGAGGCCUCCCUCCCGGCCAGGAGCCCUUUUAGCCCAGUCACCUGGCACCUCCAAAGUAACACCUCUCCACAGAGUCAUCACAAGGAGCCAGGGAGCAAAUAACACGAAAAUACAGGAACCAGACCUGGGCAGGAAGGAAGUGGGGAGCAGCGACGAUCCAGGGAACAGGAGAAGACACCUGAACAUCUCCAGUUCCUGGGUCAUCAGGCCGACGCACGUCCCGACACUUGCUGUACAAUAUUGUCUCGACAUUCCCCCAACAAAGAAACUGUCAAGAUCAGAAAGUUGCCAUUCUACAACUUGGAGGACCUUCAGAAAUUAUCAAGUCUAUAACCCUCUAUGGUACAUGUGGGGAAACUGAGGCCCAGAGAAAGCCCCAGAUCCCUUAGUGAGAUAGGGGCAGAGCCAGGCCUGGCACCCAGGCCCCUGCCUCCCCGCGCGGGACUCUCUCCGCUGCAGGAAGUGGGGACGGGGGCAGGGUUUGGAGGAGGGUGAAGCGCCGACGUCAAUGGCUGGGGAUUGAGCUUUUCCGAGAGCCCUGGAGGCUGUGAGACAGAAACCCCACAGAGGGAAGCUGGGGCGGCUCUGUGACAACAGACUCCUGAGGUGCUGUGGAGAAAACAGUGCGGUUGUGAUGAGGAAAGAGGACUGUGAAAGUGAAAUUUGCAAUUUGUGAGGGGGAAACUGAGAAUGUGUUCUCCGUCCCAUGCAAAUUAUCUGUGGCCUUCUGUCCUGCACCUGCAGCAGCUCACAACACUCACAACACACAACCCCGGGAUCCGACGGCCUGGUUCCCACGGUCCAUGCUCCGGAGAACGGGAGCAGGAAAGGCCUCGCUCAUCCGGGAGGGACAUGCAGGAAUGUCCCCGCUCCAUCUGUAGGACCUCUGCUGGGCUGAGAGGGGGCCCCCUUUGCACCUGGCUGAGGUGACCCCGUUCGUUCCGGCCGACCCUCCGAGGGACAGCACUCAGGGCCUGCCCUGUCAACUCUAGAUGUCCUGUCCUGCUCCUCUCCUGCCACUCCCAGUUUUGCUCCAGCCCCGGGCGACCCCACAUUUCCACUCCUGUGAGAGUCUGCUCGGCCUGUGUCUCCUGCUGGAAAGGGCUCCUUCCUCCGCUUCCCCAGCCAUGUCAGCCUGGUCACGGGUUCUCUGGGCAACCUUCCCUUCUGCUCCAGGCUUCAUCUGUGUCCCAAGCUCCGCGGCUUCCUCAUCCCAGCCCGUCUCUGCUGGAUUCUGGUGUCUGUUUUCACUCUCUCUCCCGCGGUAGAGUGGGAGCCCCUCGAGGGCAGGUACUGUGUCAGAUUCAUCUUUGUAUCCCAAAAUCCAAGCACCUUGCUCGACCUCCAUUCGAGGCCGGGGAGCAAACAUCCCGUGUGCGUGCUGCCGCCGUCCAGUCAGAGCCCAGGGCAGACGCUGCUGAUCAGUCCUGGCGGCCUUGCCCCUGGUGCUCAGACGGCUCCACCCGCAGCACGGGGGUCCAGGUAGGCACCGCCUGGCAACCAAGACUGGCUCUCCCGAUGACACUAGUGACUGUCCCUGGGAUGGUGCUUAAUGAAUGUGUGACUCACGUCUCAGCUGGGGGCUGCUGGCCCCUCAGAGAUGUGGCUCCAAGCCCAUGAUCUGUGCUCUCCGUGGUUGCUGAGAGGCCAGGCUGACUUCCUCACGCUGCCUCGGCCUCCGUCCUGAAGCAGUCCAGGCAGGAAGCACAGACCCCUCCUCAGUCCACACACACACACACGUACACACAUGUGCUCACACCUAUAUACGUAGUCACACCCCCAUGCUCACACUUACGUCUCACGCAUGCACACAGUUACACACACCAAUACACUCCCAUUAAACAUUUCAUGCGUGUCAGGAACUUCGCUGGCUAUUUUGGGAGACGUUACAUCACACAGAGCACAGCUUCCCACUGUCCCAGCGGGUCCCUCCACACGCUCUCUCUGUUCCUCCCCAUCUCUCCCCUCGUUCCUCCAGAAUUGCCCCACCCCAGUGCCCAAUUGUUGUCCCUGUGUCUUGUAGAGCCGUUCUGCUACCCGCUCUGGAGUGGGGACAGUCUACACGUGUACCUGCAGAUUCCAACUCACCAGGUAGAGUCUCUCCCAAAGAGUCAUUUGAAUCACACAUUUCUCCCUCUUGUUUCAAAUAUUGUUAUGAAUUAAUGGAUGGCAGUAACAAAGGACAUUUGUCUACCGCUCUCCAUUUCCCAUCCCAAACAGACACAACUCAAUGGCAACACCGUCUUUAGGCGGUUACUUGGUGCCCGGCCCAGUGCCAGCAUUGCACAUCAGAGGUGGUACUGCCCCCAAAGUGCUCCCAGCCUACUGGCAAGAACAGAUGCACAAACAAGUAGAGAGGAGUGAAGCCACAAUCUGUGCCAUCCCUGGGGCAGAGGAGCAACUUAACUGCUGUGCUGUGAAGGACGAGCAAAUUCCAGGCCUCAAAAGAGAAUUCACGAUCUGACUCUCCCACAAACACACAGCAGAGGCGGCCAUUUUCCGGCUGCUGUGACGGCAGAUCAGUUUCACCUGUACUUGAACUUUGUCUGAAUGGAUCAUCCAGUAUAAACUCCUUUGUGUCUGGCAUCGUUGGCUCAAGGUGUCUAUGAUAUUCAUCCGUGGGUAGAGUCUUUUCAAGCUUUGUUUCAAACAUUGAGAGUUGGGGCACUGAACUCGCAGAGGCCCAGACUUACCAGUCUCUUACUCACCCACCACAGAAGUGGGGCCUCAGGAAAAGGAGCGUUUACCGUCUUCUUUUAGAAGCUUACCCCGAACAUAAGCCUCAAGGACCACGACGUGGAGCGAGACCCCCACCCGCACUGAGCAGCGAGUCUCACUGCAGUACCCAACUCGAGAGAAGCGAUUAAACCCAGGGUGGAUUUUCUAUGCCCAGUGGUUUUCCAUUUUGUGUUUUAAUUUUUACUUUAAGGACUUAAUUUUAACAAAAGAGCCAAAUUACCACCAUGCUUUAAAAUGAACUUGUCUACAGGAGUUAAAAACAGGCUUUAGACUGUGAAGCUUUAAUUAACUUUGGAAGAUGGUAAUUAAACAGCCCCUGUGCCCGUCUCAAGCUUUGCAAAGGCAAGGAAGGGAGGCCAGAGUCUGGAGUUCUCACCUGGGCAGAACACUGGAGGCCCCUGAGAAGCUUCCACGUUCCCCAUGCCCAGGCCACACCCUUGACCAAUGACGUCAGAACCUGUAGGGUUGGCAUGCAGACACUAGGAUAGUUUUUUAAGCUCUCAGGCCAUUCCAGCACGCAUCAGAGGUUGAGAAUCUCUAGACCGAUUGGCAGCUGUCGAUGGUGGUGGGCUGAGAGAUGGGGAAGAUGGAAAUGGGUGAGGCUGAGAGACACAGAGAGGUCUUCACACCAAGUUACAUCUCAGCUUUGGAAAAAACCAGGGGCCCACAACCAAGCCAGGUGGCACCAAGAGACAUUUCCAACCUCUAAGGAAGUUAUGGGCUGAACUUUGUUCCCCAAAAUUCAUGUGUUGAAGCCCCACCCUGGGUACCUCAGAAUGUGACUGUAUUUGGAGAUGGGCCCUUUAAAGAGGUGAUUUCGGUAGAAUGAGGCCGUUAGGAGGAACUUAAUGCAAUCUGACUGGUGUGCUUGUAGGAAGAGGAGAUUCAGGCAGACAGAGACACUGGGCGCAGGCACAGAGGGAAGGGCCUGUGGAGGGGAAGCGAGAGGCGGCCAUCUGCAGGCCCAGGAGAGAGGCCUCAGGAGAACCCACCCCAGCACCUUGAUCUUGGGCUUCCAGCCUCUGGGACGGUGAGAAAAUAAAGGCGUGCUGUUGAGCCCCCGUCCGGUGUUUGUGUGGCACCAGGAGCCGAAUAAGACAAGUUCCACUUCAGCUCUGUGGCCACGUGUGUGAAGAGUCCCCCAGGGGCCACUCUUCUGGUGCAGCGUCUCCACUCACAGGACUCUGCCCUAAGAGUUACCCAGGAACACCCUUAGAGAAUUAUCUACAGGACGUCCACAGAACAUUCUUUACAAUUGUGGAUAAGGGUGAUGUUCAACGACAGGAGACGGAGAGAUGUACUGCUCUUCACAGACGUAUCAUUAAAUGGACACAUACCACAUUUAAAUGGUUUAAAAUUUUCUCUAAUAACACUUACGUGAACAACUUGGUGGAGCCUUCAUCUUUGAGGUCAAGAAAAGCAGUGCGUCCCACGCUUAAUCCAAAGCCUGAGUUAAGAGAGAAGAAGUGCUCCCGAGGCCCCGCACAAGCAGCACCAGCUGUGCGCCUUCCUAAGCUCCUCAUCUGACUGAAUUCAGACGUACCCAACGGGGAUUCUCAGAGCAAGUCCUGGCUGUUGAAAUCACCUUCAAGGGUCCCUUUUGAGCUCUGGGCCUCAGUUGCCCUAUCUACAAAGCUAGAGGAUUGAAUUAAAUGGUUGGGGAGUUGGACUAGAACAGUGUUUCUCAAUUGAUGUCGCUCGGGUCUAAAAGCCAAAAGGAGGCCAGCGGCAUCUUUCUUCCAUGUAUUUUAAAUACAUGAGAGACCUACCUGUACUGUUCUUCUUGCCCUGCAGUGAUCCACCUUUGAGAAAUGGUGCCAUGUGCAGAGCAAAGGGGCAGCGAGAGAGGUGCUCAGAUGGCACGUGUGAGGGUGACGCUGGGUAUGUGUUUCCAGGCCAGGCAGCCAUCACAAGGCGGCCGAUGGUUGCUAGUUUCCGCUCCGUGCCUUGUCUUGUAAUCUCAACAUGUAUUUGUGACCUUGCUCCAUAUUCAUUGUCUGUUAAAUGCACUACAAAAUUUAAUUCCCAUGGUUUGUGGCUGAGUGAAGGAGCUUUUAAAAGAAAGGUGUGUGUAUCCUAGCUCAUGAGCUCAUUUUUUUAGGAGUUUAUUUUUUCAGAGAAGUUUUAGAUUCACAGCAAAAUUGAGAGGAAGGUACAGAGAUUUCCCACAUACCCCCUCCCCGACACAUGCACAGCUUCCCUCACUGUCAACAUCCUGUACCAGAAGGGUACAUUUUUAACCAAGGAGGAGCCCACAUUGACACGUCAUGAUCACCCAGACUCCACAGUUCACCUUAGGGUUCACUGCAGGUGUGGUGCAUUCUGUGGGUUUGGACAAAUGUCUAAUGACAUGUACCCAUCAUUAUAAUAUCAUGCAGAGUUCUUUUUCUGCCUUCAAAAUCCUCUGCCCUCCACCUAUUCAUUCUCCUUGCCACCCUCCCCCAACAACCACUGAUCUCUUCACUGUGUCCAUGGUUUUGCCUUUUCCAGAAUGUCAGACAGUUGGAAUCACACACUAGGAGCCUUUCAGACUGGCUUCUUUCGCUUAGUAACACGCAUUCAAGCUUCCUCCAUGUCUUUUGAUGGCUUGACAGCUCAUUGCUUCUAUUGCUGAGUAAUAUUCCAUUGUCUCGAUGGACCACAGUUUGUUUAUCCAUCUACCUGUUGAAGGAUGUCUUGGUUGCUUCUAAGUUUUGACAAUUAUGAAUAAAGCUGCUAUAAACAUC
rnacentral:lncRNA from 1 species